rnacentral:rRNA from 1 species
UGCGUAGGUGGCAAGCGUUGUCCGGAAUUACUGGGUGUAAAGGGUGCGCAGGCGGGCCGACAAGUUGGAUGUGAAAUCUCCGGGCUCAACCCGGAACGCGCAUUCAAAACUGUUGGUCUUGAGUGAGGUAGAGGCUGGCGGAAUUCCCGGUGUAGCGGCGAAAUGCGUAGAGAUCGGGAGGAACACCAGUGGCGAAGGCGGCCAGCUGGGCCUUUACUGACGCUGAGGCACGAAAGCAUGGGUAGCAAACAGGAUUAGAUACCCUGGUAGUCCAUGCCGUAAACGAUGAUUGCUAGGUGUGGGGGGACUGACCCCUUCCGUGCCGGAGUUAACGCAAUAAGCAAUCCACCUGGGGAGUACGGCCGCAAGGUUGAA